UUGACAUCCCGAAGAUCUCCUGGAAACAGGAGAGUGCUUUCAUUAGAGAGAAUUCGGUGACAGGUGUUGCAUGGCUGUGGUCAGCUCGUGUCGUGAGAUGUUGGGUUAAGUCCCGCAACGAGCGCAACCCUUGCCAUUAGUUGCCAUCAUUUAGUUGGGCACUCUAAUGGGACCGCCGGUGUCAAACCGGAGGAAGGUGGGGAUGACGUCAAGUCCUCAUGGCCUUUAUGACCAGGGCUACACACGUACUACAAUGGCCGGUACAAAGGGCAGCCACAGGGCGACCUGAAGCAAAUCCCUUAAAGCCGGUCUCAGUCCGGAUCGGAGUCUGCAACUCGACUCCGUGAAGUUGGAAUCGCUAGUAAUCGUGGAUCAGCAUGCCACGGUGAAUACGUUCCCGGGCCUUGUACACACCGCCCGUCACACCACGGAAGUCGGUUGUACCAGAAGUAGUUGAGCGAACCUUCGGGACGCAGGCUACCAAGGUAUAGCUGGUAACUGGGGUGAAGUCGUAACAAGGUA
rnacentral:rRNA from 1 species